GAGACGGAAUCUCGCUCGGUUGCCAGGCUGGAGUGCAGUGGCGCAAUAUCAGCUCACUGCAACCUCCGCCUGCCAGGUUCAAGAGAUUAUCCUGCCUCAGCCUCCCGAGUAGCUGGGACUACAGGCAUGCGCCACCACGCCCAGCUAAUUUUUGUAUUUUUAGUAAAGACGGGGUUUCACGAUGUUGGCCAGGAUGGUCUCAAUCUCUUGACCUCGUGAUCUGCCCACUUCUACCUUUCCAAGUGCUGGGAUUUACAGGUGUAUGCUACUGUGCCUGGCCACAUCAGGAUUCCUUAGGGUCUCCCUAGAUGACUCUAAUGUGCAUCCAAGCUGGGAACUACUGGCUUAGAAGCAGAAGUCAAGAGCCCUCAGCUGUUUGCAGAGGAAAGCUAUGGUCGCUUGUAUAUUUCAAUGGGAUAGGAAAAAUACUAGAAGACUCAUGGGCUUGUUUUUUUUUUUUUCUUGAACAAGUGGACCAUAACUGACUCUUUGUUUUUCCAGUUUAACCUUAGAAAAUAUGCCCAAAGUCAACAGGUAUACAAUUAACCUU
rnacentral:lncRNA from 1 species